rnacentral:piRNA from 1 species
UCCAACAAUGUCCUGCUGAAAUGUGUCUCC